rnacentral:rRNA from 1 species
AGCAGCCGCGGUAAUUCCAGCUCCAAUAGCGUAUAUUAAAGUUGUUGCAGUUAAAAAGCUCGUAGUUGAAUUUCGGAAUUUGUCGGUUGGUCGGGCUUCAUUGUCCGCACUGGCCUGAUGGAUUCCUACCUUCUGAAUAACCAGCAUGCUAUUAAUUUAGUGCGUUGGGGAAGCAGAGCUAUUACCUUGAAAAAAUUAGAGUGCUUAAAGCAGGCUCACGCUUGAAUAGAUUAGCGUGGAAUAAUAAAAUAGGACGGCUUGGUUCUAUUUUGUUGGUUUCUAGGAUCACCGUAAUGAUUAAUAGGGAUAGUUGGGGGCAUUAGUAUUCAAUUGUCAGAGGUGAAAUUCUUGGAUUUAUUGAAGACUAACUUCUGCGAAAGCAUUUGCCAAGGAUGUUUUCAUUAAUCAAGAACGAAAGUUAGGGGAUCGAAGACGAUCAGAUACCGUCGUAGUCUUAACCAUAAACUAUGCCGACUAGGGAUCGGACGAUGUUAAUUUAAUGACUCG